UACGAAGGGUGCAAGCGUUACUCGGAAUUACUGGGCGUAAAGCGUGCGUAGGUGGUGAGUUAAGUCUGUCGUGAAAGCCCCGGGCUCAACCUGGGAAUGGCGAUGGAUACUGGCUCGCUAGAGUGCGGUAGAGGAGAGUGGAAUUCUCGGUGUAGCAGUGAAAUGCGUAGAGAUCGGGAGGAACAUCAGUUGCGAAGGCGGCUCUCUGGACCAGCACUGACACUGAGGCACGAAAAGCGUGGGGGAGCAAAACAGG
rnacentral:rRNA from 1 species